ensembl:snRNA U6 U6 spliceosomal RNA
GUGCUUGCCUCUGCAGUACAUUUACUAAAAUUAGAACAAUACAGAGAAGACCAGCAUGGCCCCUGCACAAGGAUGACACGCAAAUUUGUGGAGUGUUCCAUAUUUUU